rnacentral:rRNA from 1 species
AGCAGCCGCGGUAAUUCCAGCUCCAAUAGCGUAUAUUAAAGUUGUUGCAGUUAAAAAGCUCGUAGUUGAAUUUCGGGGUUAGUAGGUUGGUCAUGCCUCUGGUAUGUACUGGUCUCACUGAUUCCUCCUUCCUGAUGAACCUUAAUGCCAUUAAUUUGGUGUUUUGGGGAAUUUGGACUGUUACUUUGAAAAAAUUAGAGUGUUUAAAGCAAGCUAACGCUUGAAUACAUUAGCAUGGAAUAAUGAAAUAGGACGUUCGAUCCUAUUUUGUUGGCUUCUAGGAUUGACGUAAUGAUUAAUAGGGAUAGUUGGGGGCAUUAGUAUUCAAUUGUCAGAGGUGAAAUUCUUGGAUUUAUUGAAGACUAACUACUGCGAAAGCAUUUGCCAAGGAUGUUUUCAUUAAUCAAGAACGAAAGUUAGGGGAUCGAAGACGAUCAGAUACCGUCGUAGUCUUAACCAUAAACUAUGCCGACUAGGGAUCGGAUGAUGUUAAUUUUUAAUGACUCAUUCGGCGCCUUAA